GCACCCAGCGCGGGAGAGUGCCGCAACCCCACCGCCGGAGGUCCCUGGACCGACCGGACACCGGGGGGAGUGGCCGCCGAAGGAGCAAUUUCUCCCCGAGAAUCUCUCAGGCACCGGUACCGCGCAGGGCAU
rnacentral:ncRNA from 1 species